rnacentral:rRNA from 1 species
UACAGAGGUCUCAAGCGUUGUUCGGAUUCAUUGGGCGUAAAGGGUGUGUAGGUGGCGCGCUAAGUCGGGUGUGAAAUUUCGGAGCUUAACUCCGAAACUGCACUUGAUACUGCCUUGCUUGAGUACUGGGGAGGAGAUUGGAAUUUACGGUGUAGCAGUGAAAUGCGUAGAUAUCGUAAGGAAGACCAGUGGCGAAGGCGAAUCUCUGGACAGUUACUGACACUGAGGCACGAAGGCCAGGGGAGCAAACGGG